UACGUAGGGUGCGAGCGUUGUCCGGAAUUACUGGGCGUAAAGAGCUCGUAGGUGGUUUGUCGCGUUGUUCGUGAAAACUCACAGCUUAACUGUGGGCGUGCGGGCGAUACGGGCAGACUGGAGUACUGCAGGGGAGACUGGAAUUCCUGGUGUAGCGGUGGAAUGCGCAGAUAUCAGGAGGAACACCGGUGGCGAAGGCGGCAUCCUGGACCAAUUCUGACGCUGAGGAGCGAAAGCCAGGGGAGCAAACGGG
rnacentral:rRNA from 1 species